CCCUUAGAUGUUCUGGGCUGCACGCGCGCGACAAUGACGUUUGCAACGAGAUACGAGACCGAAAGGUUAAGUUGAUCUAGCAAGCUGCGUCGUGAUAGGGACUGUCGAUUGCAAUUAUUCGACACGAACGAGGAAUUCCUUGUAAUCGCACAUCAUCAGUGUGCGCUGAAUACGUCCCUGCCCUUUGUACACACCGCCCGUCGCUCCUACCGAUCGAGUGAUCCGGUGAAUGUUUUGGAUCGGUUGCAAGUUGCGCGACGCGCUUCUUGCAUGCUGUGAAAUCAUGUAAGCCUUAUGGCUUAGAGGAAGGAGAAGUCGUAACA
rnacentral:rRNA from 1 species